rnacentral:rRNA from 1 species
GACAGAGGUCCCGAGCGUUGUUCGGAUUCAUUGGGCGUAAAGGGUGUGUAGGAGGUCGGGUAAGUCAGGUGUGAAAUCUCAGAGCUUAACUCUGAAACUGCGCUUGAUACUGCUCGGCUAGAGGAUCGGAGGGGGUAACGGAAUUCAUGGUGUAGCAGUGAAAUGCGUAGAUAUCAUGAGGAACACCGGUGGCGAAGGCGGUUACCUGGAAGAUUCCUGACUCUGAAACACGAAAGCCAGGGGAGCAAACGGG